AUGUUUUGUCCAGGAGAAGAAACCCAGACUGUAGAUAGGGCCAUGGCUGGAAAUUUGCAGGAAGAACAGGAGUUACUGAACUGUCAUUAAUAGAGGAUUUUCUUAGGUGUCAGGAUUGCAGAAGAUUUAUUGAUUUAUCAGGAGAAAGUUGCCAUCACACAAUAUUGAGUUUGCAAUAAGGUUUUCUGGGUUGGGACAUUUUGUUUUGGAUUCUAUGAUCCCCCGUACAAGCGACCACACCCGAGCAGUCUCUCCCUCACCACCUCAGAGCACUUGCUGCUACCAUGUGACGAGGUCUUCUGGGUGAGAAGAUUGUGUUUUCAAUUCUAUUUCUCCCGCAUGUGUUCCCCGUCUAGAAGAAUCCAAUUCCAAAUGACUUUGAAACUUCUGUAUUUGCUAAGCA